UACGGCUCAUCCUGCUCACGUUUGCUCUCACGGUUCUGAUCUCCUGCCUGUCCUCCGACCACCGAAACACCCGCCGCUGGAACUUUAUGAGCGGCAACCGCCGCAGCGAAUUGACGACCCGCCUGCUGGGAUCCACUGGGACUGAACUGAACAUUAAGACCAGAGGAUCCCGCUGUAGACGCUGACGCCUCCCGCUCCGCACCUGAUCUUAAUAAACUGUUAAACUUGAA